rnacentral:rRNA from 1 species
UACGUAGGGUGCGAGCGUUGUCCGGAAUUAUUGGGCGUAAAGGGCUCGUAGGCGGUCUGUCGCGUCGGGAGUGAAAACACGGGGCUUAACCCCGUGCCUGCUUCCGAUACGGGCAGACUAGAGGUAUGCAGGGGGAGAACGGAAUUCCUGGUGUAGCGGUGAAAUGCGCAGAUAUCGGGAGGAACACCGGUGGCGAAGGCGGUUCUCUGGGCCUGACCUGACGCUGAGGAGCGAAAGCGUGGGGAGCGAACAGG